GAACAGUUCACAUGCGUCCGUUGAGCUGAACGCACGUGCUCGCGUCUGCAGCGCUUCUGGUGUGAUUUAGUUUUGGCAAAAAACACGAACAAAAAAUUGAAUCGAAUCUUAAAAUACCAAAGCAAACGCGCGCUCGUGUAACGGCAUUGGAGUUAAUGGGCCCCUAAUAAACGAGGGAUUUGAACUGAAUUUCGUCUGUGUAGACCGUUUGACCGCAAUUAGUUUCCAAUUUGAAUUUCACUCGAAUUAAAUUGUAUUCUUACGCCAUUAAGACAUCAUCGAUUGUGUUAGUGUGUUUGCGUGUGUGUGCGCUGUGCUUGCUUCCUGGCUUGGUGCAACGGCUGUGUCGUGGUGGAAAUCAGUGCGGCGUGGCGGCAAACGAGUAUCUGAAACGAAGCGACUACACACAGCUGCAAAAAUAACAACAAAUAACAGCAAAUUGUUGGAAUUUUACGAACUCAGUAGACACUCAAUACCCAGCUAGCAGCUGACAUAAGUGUUCAUGUUUCUUUGGCUUACCUAUGUGAGCGUGUCCGUGAAUGUGUGUCGGUUGCGCGGAAAUUGUAUCCGAUUUGACAGUAAGCAGCUGCUGUGCGCCGCGCCAACAAAUGAGCUAGACAACCAGACCCAAUCACACAACGCACAACUACAACAACCGAAGCAACAUGUGGAGAAGUAGAUGUGGAAAUAUUUAUGGAAAUUCAUUGCUUGCGAGAAAAACGGAUGAAAAAAGCUGAAAAAUUAAUAGAAUAACAAUGCUUCAAAUUCAAAUUAUGCCACUAACUUUGGAAGCAACAUGUUUCAGUUUGUAAUGCGGGACUCAAAAAAAGUCACUCUUCAGAGUCUUCGCUGUCAAAAGUUCUGGAAGGGAUUAUAGCCAGCAAUGCUGAUCUACAGAUGCUCUAUGCGUAAUUUGUAUUAAUGAAGGCAAUGUGCCACAGCAGGCCGAGUGUUAAUUCAGUUUUAAUAUCUCACCAAGUGCCAGCAGAACUGUUGAGAACGAGCUUUCUCGCAAACAACAAGAUAUUGUUACUCACGAUAUUCAUGACAACAUUAGGGUUCCUCGUCUGCAUCGGUUGGAAGCGGCAAUUCUUCGUGGUAAUCUAAUCCAAUCAGCAAAGAGUCAUGAUUCAUAAUCUUCUACAACUUCGUGAACUGUAAUAGUUUAGUUUAUAAAAAUAAAUACAAACUUUUCAACUUUC